rnacentral:rRNA from 1 species
GAUGAACGCUAGCGGCAGGCCUAAUACAUGCAAGUCGAGGGGCAGCAUGGCACUUCGGUGCCGAUGGCGACCGGCGAACGGGUGCGUAACGCGUAUGCAAUCUACCUUGUACAGGGGGAUAGCCAUUGGAAACGGUGAUUAAUACCCCAUAUUGUCUAUUUGGCGCAUGCCUUAUAGAUUAAAGCUCCGGCGGUACAAGACGAGCAUGCGUCUCAUUAGCUUGUUGGUGAGGUAAUGGCUCACCAAGGCAACGAUGAGUAGGGGAUCUGAGAGGAUGAUCCUCCACACUGGCACUGAGACACGGGCCAGACUCUUACGGGAGGCAGCAGUAGGGAAUAUUGGUCAAUGGGCGCAAGCCUGAACCAGCCAUGCCGCGUGCAGGAUUGA